rnacentral:lncRNA from 1 species
CGUGUUCAGGUAGCUAGAGGAUGUGGUACCAAAUGUCGGUUAGGUCAUCCCGGUCAACGACAUUAGUAUUUUUGGUAUUCGUAUGUAAACACAUAUUAAUAUUAAUAUCAAUUGGUCCGUUUUCAACUUUUAUAUAAAAUGUAUAUUGUUUUUCAAAAAAAAAAAUACACAACGCACAUACGUGUCAGACCAAUUGGCGCCUCUUGUUAAAUCUAACAUACAAG